rnacentral:rRNA from 1 species
CUGAGAGCCCGAAGGUCGAAGGAAGAAAUUCAUAUGUGUUUCAUAAUUGACAGAAUUGUAUAUGAUAGACGAUAUGCAAAGCUGAUAAUCUAUUUAAUGAUUAUUGAUUUGUAUUUUGCUACGUAUAUAUUUUGUAUCUGAUUAUGAACAUGUGCAUUUUUCUUCUGGUAGGACGUCGCGAUCCGUUAGGAUUAUUAUCGGUCUAUGAUGAUUUACGGUACUAGAUCAUUGAUACAUGUAUUAUUUUCAUAAUAUAUGAUAAUAUUAAUGAGUCCGUUCAUUCUGGCCGAUUUACCUGACGGUAUACUGAAUGGUUAAAGGUCGCUAAUUUCAAUUAGCGUUAGAGGUUCGGCAAGUGUAUUGAUUGUUAAAAAACAUUAUUAUUAUAUUUAUAUGAUGGUAAUGUUAUCGGUAAUCGGUAUUUAUAUCAAUUCCGAGMUAUUUGUAUACUGUUUGCUAAACAUAUCUYUGACUGACUUUAUUAUUUUAAAAUAAAACCAAUCGGCGACGCUAUAGCUUUGGGUAAUUUCAGGACCCGUCUUGAAACACGGACCAAGGAGUYUAGCAUGUGCGCAAGCCAUUGGGAUAUUAAAACCUAUAGGCAAAAUGAAAGUAAAAUCAAGUCGUCUUGUAUGAUUUGAAAGGAAGAUGAAUGAUGAUAUCUUAAUGAUACAUUAUUUCGCAUUCCUGGGGCGUUUAAAUUUCAUUUUUUUUUUAAUUGGAAAGAAUGAGAUUAUGCGCACCAAGAGUGUACACGCUGGGACCCGAAAGAUGGUGAACUAUGCCUGGUCAGGACGAAGUCAGGGGAAACCCUGAUGGAGGUCCGUAGCGAUUCUGACGUGCAAAUCGAUCGUCGGAAC